rnacentral:rRNA from 1 species
AGCGAACGCUGGCGGCAGGCCUAACUCAUGCAAGUCGAACGAAGCCUUCGGGCUUAGUGGCGGACGGGUGAGUAACACGUGGGAACGUACCUUUUGGUUCGGAACAACUCAGGGAAACUUGAGCUGAUACCGGAUGAGCCCUUAGGGGGAAAGAUUUAUCGCCGAAAGAGCGGCCCGCGUUAGAUUAGCUAGUUGGUGAGGUAAAGGCUCACCAAGGCUACGACCUAUAGCUGGUCUGAGAGGAUGAUCAGCCACACUGGGACUGAGACACGGCCCAGACUCCUACGGGAGGCAGCAGUGGGGAAUCUUGCGCAAUGGGCGAAAGCCUGACGCAGCCAUGCCGCGUGAAUGAUGAAGGUCUUAGGAUUGUAAAAUUCUUUUACCAGGGACGAUAAUGACGGUACCUGGAGAAAAAGCCCCGGCUAACUUCGUGCCAGCCGCCGCCGUAACAC